UGGGGAAUAUUGGGCAAUGGGCGAAAGCCUGACCCAGCAACGCCGCGUGAAGUAUGAAUGCCUUCGGGUUGUAAACUUCUUUGAUCAGGGAAGAAACAAAUGACGGUACCUGAAAAACAAGCCACGGCUAACUACGUGCCAGCAGCCGCGGUAAUACGUAGGUGGCGAGCGUUAUCCGGAUUUACUGGGUGUAAAGGGCGUGCAGGCGGGCUGAUAAGUCAGAUGUGAAAUCCCCGAGCUUAACACGGGAACUGCAUCUGAUAUUGUUGGGCUUGAGUGCAGGAGAGAAAAGUGGAAUUACUAGUGUAGCGGUGAAAUGCGUAGAGAUUAGGAGGAACACCGGUGGCGAAAGCGGCUUUUUGGCCUGCAACUGACACUGAGGCGCGAAAGCGUGGGGAGCAAACAGG
rnacentral:rRNA from 1 species